UACGAAGGGGGCUAGCGUUGUUCGGAAUCACUGGGCGUAAAGGGCGCGUAGGCGGCUGUUCAAGUCGGGGGUGAAAGCCUGUGGCUCAACCACAGAAUUGCCUUCGAUACUGGACGGCUCGAGACCGGAAGAGGUCAGUGGAACUGCGAGUGUAGAGGUGAAAUUCGUAGAUAUUCGCAAGAACACCAGUGGCAAAGGCGGCUGACUGGUCCGGUUCUGACGCUGAGGCGCGAAAGCGUGGGGAGCAAACAGG
rnacentral:rRNA from 1 species